rnacentral:rRNA from 1 species
AGACCCGAAACCCGGUGAUCUAGCCAUGGGCAGGUUGAAGGUUGGGUAACACUAACUGGAGGACCGAACCGACUAAUGUUGAAAAAUUAGCGGAUGACCUGUGGCUGGGGGUGAAAGGCCAAUCAAACCGGGAGAUAGCUGGUUCUCCCCGAAAGCUAUUUAGGUAGCGCCUCGUGAAUUCAUCUCCGGGGGUAGAGCACUGUUUCGGCUAGGGGGCCAUCCCGGCUUACCAACCCGAUGCAAACUGCGAAUACCGGAGAAUGUUAUCACGGGAGACACACGGCGGGUGCUAACGUCCGUCGUGAAGAGGGAAACAACCCAGACCGCCAGCUAAGGUCCCAAAGUCAUGGUUAAGUGGGAAACGAUGUGGGAAGGCCCAGACAGCCAGGAUGUUGGCUUAGAAGCAGCCAUCAUUUAAAGAAAGCGUAAUAGCUCACUGGUCGAGUCGGCCUGCGCGGAAGAUGUAACGGGGCUAAACCAUGCACCGAAGCUGCGGCAGCGAACGUAUCACCCAAGACAACUUUACGGAGUUGACGAUUGACGGAGCGAAGCGACGUCAAAGCGUUCAUUAAAGUCGAGUUGGCUUAGGGGUACGUUCGUUGGGUAGGGGAGCGUUCUGUAAGCCUGUGAAGGUGUGUCGUGAGGCAUGCUGGAGGUAUCAGAAGUGCGAAUGCUGACAUAAGUAACGAUAAAGCGGGUGAAAAGCCCGCUCGCCGGAAGACCAAGGGUUCCUGUCCAACGUUAAUCGGGGCAGGGUGAGUCGACCCCUAAGGCGAGGCCGAAAGGCGUAGUCGAUGGGAAACGGGUUAAUAUUCCCGUACUUGGUGUUACUGCGAAGGGGGGACGGAGAAGGCUAUGUUGGCCGGGCGACGGUUGUCCCGGUUUAAGCGUGUAGGUGUGUGUUCCAGGUAAAUCCGGUUCACUUUAACACUGAGGCGUGACGACGAGGCACUACGGUGCUGAAGCAACAAAUGCCCUGCUUCCAGGAAAAGCCUCUAAGCAUCAGGUAACAUCAAAUCGUACCCCAAACCGACACAGGUGGUCAGGUAGAGAAUACCAAGGCGCUUGAGAGAACUCGGGUGAAGGAACUAGGCAAAAUGGUGCCGUAACUUCGGGAGAAGGCACGCUGACACGUAGGUGAAGUGAUUUACUCACGGAGCUGAAGUCAGUCGAAGAUACCAGCUGGCUGCAACUGUUUAUUAAAAACACAGCACUGUGCAAACACGAAAGUGGACGUAUACGGUGUGACGCCUGCCCGGUGCCGGAAGGUUAAUUGAUGGGGUCAGCGCAAGCGAAGCUCCUGAUCGAAGCCCCGGUAAACGGCGGCCGUAACUAUAACGGUCCUAAGGUAGCGAAAUUCCUUGUCGGGUAAGUUCCGACCUGCACGAAUGGCGUAAUGAUGGCCAGGCUGUCUCCACCCGAGACUCAGUGAAAUUGAACUCGCUGUGAAGAUGCAGUGUACCCGCGGCAAGACGGAAAGACCCCGUGAACCUUUACUAUAGCUUGACACUGAACAUUGAGCCUUGAUGUGUAGGAUAGGUGGGAGGCUUUGAAGUGUGGACGCCAGUCUGCAUGGAGCCGACCUUGAAAUACCACCCUUUAAUGUUUGAUGUUCUAACGUGGACCCGUAAUCCGGGUUGCGGACAGUGUCUGGUGGGUAGUUUGACUGGGGCGGUCUCCUCCUAAAGAGUAACGGAGGAGCACGAAGGUUGGCUAAUCCUGGUCGGACAUCAGGAGGUUAGUGCAAUGGCAUAAGCCAGCUUGACUGCGAGCGUGACGGCGCGAGCAGGUGCGAAAGCAGGUCAUAGUGAUCCGGUGGUUCUGAAUGGAAGGGCCAUCGCUCAACGGAUAAAAGGUACUCCGGGGAUAACAGGCUGAUACCGCCCAAGAGUUCAUAUCGACGGCGGUGUUUGGCACCUCGAUGUCGGCUCAUCACAUCCUGGGGCUGAAGUAGGUCCCAAGGGUAUGGCUGUUCGCCAUUUAAAGUGGUACGCGAGCUGGGUUUAGAACGUCGUGAGACAGUUCGGUCCCUAUCUGCCGUGGGCGCUGGAGAACUGAGGGGGGCUGCUCCUAGUACGAGAGGACCGGAGUGGACGCAUCACUGGUGUUCGGGUUGUCAUGCCAAUGGCACUGCCCGGUAGCUAAAUGCGGAAGAGAUAAGUGCUGAAAGCAUCUAAGCACGAAACUUGCCCCGA